rnacentral:rRNA from 1 species
GGGUAAGAACCUCACCUAUCUUGAUAUGUAGGUGGGGUUGUGAUAUAUUGUGCCCAGUGGGCCACUUUUGGUAAGCAGAACUGGCGCUGUGGGAUGAACCAAACGCAAUGUUACGGUGCCAAAAUUUACAACUCAUGCAGAUACCAUGAAAGGCGUUGCUUGCUUAAAACAGCAGGACGGUGGACAUGGAAGUCGUAAUCCGCUAAGGAGUGUGUAACAACUCACCUGCCGAAGCAACUAGCCCUUAAAAUGGAUGGCGCUUAAGUUGUAUACCUAUACAUUGCCGCUAAUGUAGAUGGUUUAUGCAUAAUUUCGGUUAUGUUUAUAAAUUUUGAGACAUUAGUGAGUAGGAGGGUACAAUGGUGUGCCUAGAAGUGUUUGG